rnacentral:tRNA from 1 species
GCGCCCGUAGCUCAGGGGACAGAGCGUCAGCCUCCGGAGCUGAAAGUCGAACGUUCGAAUCGUUCCGGGCGUACCA